rnacentral:rRNA from 1 species
CAUUUUGGCUAAUACAUGCGCAAAUAUCCUUUUUCGCAAGAAAGAGGAUAGUGUUUAUUAGAUACAGAACCAAUACACCAUCUGUUAACAGCAGGUGGUGUAAAAAAGGUGAUUCAUAGUAACCGAACGGAUCGCAUUAUGGUCUUUUUAUAUGGCUGGCGAUAGAUCAUUCAAGUUUCUGACCUAUCAGCUUCGACGGUAGUGUAUGA